UCGAAUAUAGGUUAGCGCAUAAACCGGUAAGUUUAUUUUUUAUAGAGGCCUGAGGGGCUGUUCGUG
rnacentral:tRNA from 1 species